AGCUUUGCGCAGUGGCAGUAUCGUAGCCAAUGGGGUUUAUCCGAGGCACGAUUAUUGCUAAGAGUAUGUUAUUCAGUCCCUUUGGGUCUAUAUGCUUUUGUAGUUUCUUUUUGCUUUGUAGUUCAGGAUUUUAUUCAGGAGGUACUGUAGUAC
ensembl:snRNA LOC120097638 U4 spliceosomal RNA